GUCACUGUUUUGUAUUCUUACUAAGAUCAAAGUAAAGCAUCUGUUCUUAUCAGCUUAAUUUCUGGUAUGAAUCCCAAGUGGAUUCGUU
rnacentral:snRNA from 1 species